rnacentral:tRNA from 1 species
GGAGACGUCGCAUAGCGGUCUAGUGCACCAUCUUGGAAAGGUGGCAAGGUGAAAGCCUUCGAGGGUUCGAAUCCCUCCGUCUCCG